rnacentral:rRNA from 1 species
UACGUAGGGUGCGAGCGUUGUCCGGAAUUAUUGGGCGUAAAGGGCUCGUAGGCGGUCUGUCGCGUCGAAAGUGAAAACUCAGGGCUUAACCCUGAGCCUGCUUCCGAUACGGGCAGACUAGAGGUAUGCAGGGGGAGAACGGAAUUCCUGGUGUAGCGGUGAAAUGCGCAGAUAUCAGGCAGAACACCUGGGGCGAAGGCGGCCAGCUGGGCCGUCCCUGACGCUGAGGCGCGAAGGCGUGGGGAGCGA